AGACAGGUAUAUAUCCCAGGAAGUGGGAUACAGUGUGCACCAUGUCAGCAGAACUUCAAAAGGGACUGAAAUCAUAUUCAGUGCAUAUAAAGUUCUUUCAGGGAUCUUAUAUGCUCGCACCACCCGAAGCUUAAGAGCCUGCCUGGUAUUCAUGGGAGAUAUCUGGCUAGCAAGAACAAACAUUUUUUGCUAUUCAAGAAGAAUCAGAGAGGCUUUGUAGAGGGAGAUUGUAUUUUGUAUUAAUAGUUGUACAUGCGUUGUAUAUAUAAGGUCUGAUGACCUUCGUUAUUGAUCGUAACCAUCCUGAUCAAUAAAUACCUAGAGAAUAGGUAUGGGUUAGUGGGCUCAAUGUCCGAUAUGAACAAUUGAUUACCUUAAAUACAUUCUCUAAUCCCAUUGGAUGAGAGAAUGAUUUGGGUAGAUAUAUUGAAAAAAUUAGGUUUCCUAUAUA